UACAGAGGGUGCGAGCGUUGUCCGGAAUCACUGGGCGUAAAGGGCGCGUAGGCGGUCGUGACAAGUCACUUGUGAAAUCUCCGGGCUUAACUCGGAACGGUCAAGUGAUACUGUCGGACUAGAGUACAGAAGGGGCAACUGGAAUUCUCGGUGUAGCGGUGAAAUGCGUAGAUAUCGAGAGGAACACCUGCGGCGAAGGCGGGUUGCUGGGCUGAUACUGACGCUGAGGCGCGAAAGCCAGGGGAGCGAACGGGG
rnacentral:rRNA from 1 species